rnacentral:rRNA from 1 species
UAGGGAAUAUUGGACAAUGGGGGCAACCCUGAUCCAGCCAUGCCGCGUGAGUGAAGAAGGCCCUCGGGUUGUAAAGCUCUUUUGUCCGGAAAGAAAAGCUUCGGGUUAAUACCCCGGGGUUCUGACGGUACCGGAAGAAUAAGCACCGGCUAACUUCGUGCCAGCAGCCGCGGUAAUACGAAGGGUGCAAGCGUUACUCGGAAUUACUGGGCGUAAAGCGUGCGUAGGUGGUUGUUUAAGUCUGAUGUGAAAGCCCUGGGCUCAACCUGGGAAUGGCAUUGGAAUCUGGGCAGCUAGAGUGCGGUAGAGGGUAGUGGAAUUCCCGGUGUAGCAGUGAAAUGCGUAGAGAUCGGGAGGAACAUCUGUGGCGAAGGCGACUGCCUGGACCAGCACAGACACUGAGGCACGAAAGCGUGGGGAGCAAACA